rnacentral:rRNA from 1 species
UACGUAGGGUGCGAGCGUUUAAUCGGAAUUACUGGGCGUAAAGCGUGCGCAGGCGGUUCGUUGUGUCGGCGGUGAAAGCCCCGGGCUUAACCUGGGAAUGGCCGUUGAAACUGGCGAACUGGAGUGUGGCAGAGGGGGGUGGAAUUCCGCGUGUAGCAGUGAAAUGCGUAGAGAUGUGGAGGAACACCGAUGGCGAAGGCAGCCCCCUGGGUCAAGAUUGACGCUCAUGCACGAAAGCGUGGGGAGCAAACAGG